rnacentral:rRNA from 1 species
AGCGAACGCUGGCGGCAGGCCUAACACAUGCAAGUCGAGCGGCCGUAGCAAUACGGCAGCGGCAGACGGGAGAGUAACACGUGGGAACGCGCCCUUCGGUCUGGAAUAACCCAGGGAAACUUGGGCUAAUACCGGAUACGCCCUUACGGGGAAAGGUUUAUUGCCGAAGGAACGGCCCGCGUCCGAUUAGCUAGUUGGUGAGGUAACGGCUCACCAAGGCGACGAUCGGUAGCUGGUCUGAGAGGAUGACCAGCCUCACUGGGACUGAGACACGGCCCAGACUCCUACGGGAGGCAGCAGUGGGGAAUACUGGACAAUGGGCGCAAGCCUGAUCCAGCCAUGCCGCGUGGGUGAUGAAGGCCCUAGGGUUGUAAAGCCCUAUCAGCGGGGAAGAUAAUGACGGUACCCGCAGAAGAAGCCCCGGCUAACUUCGUGCCAGCAGCCGCGGUAAUAC